UGGGGAAUAUUGCACAAUGGGCGCAAGCCUGAUGCAGCCAUGCCGCGUGUGUGAAGAAGGCCUUCGGGUUGUAAAGCACUUUCAGCGGGGAGGAAGGCGAUAAGGUUAAUAACCUCAUCGAUUGACGUUACCCGCAGAAGAAGCACCGGCUAACUCCGUGCCAGCAGCCGCGGUAAUACGGAGGGUGCAAGCGUUAAUCGGAAUUACCGGGCGUAAAGCGCACGCAGGCGGUUGAUUGAGUCAGAUGUGAAAUCCCCGGGCUUAACCCGGGAAUUGCAACUGAUACUGGUAAGCUAGAGUCUUGUAGAGGGGGGUAGAAUUCCAUGUGUAGCGGUGAAAUGCGUAGAGAUGUGGAGGAAUACCGGUGGCGAAGGCGGCCCCCUGGACGAAGACUGACGCUCAGGUGCGAAAGCGUGGGGAGCAAACAGG
rnacentral:rRNA from 1 species